UCACCCACCCCCCACCUCCUCCCUUCCCAUACCCACAGUUUGUUUCUCAGCGUCCACAGUCUCUCAUGCUUCGUCUUAAAAGCCCUUCCUUACAGUCCCUUUCUUUGCUGGAUCCCCUUGGAACCUCUUUCAUUCCCGUCACAGUCCCUCGCACCACUGGCCCAGCUCCUCUGUACUCUGAGCGGCUGUGGUUCCUUCAGCUCCCCUUCUGUUGAGACCAUACUGAGCUAAUCCUUGUUACAUCAGCUGCCUUGAAAUGACCAGUCGUUGCUAACAGCUGUUCCCUUUCUUUAAGGCACAUAGUACAAUCUCACAGGACAAGAGCGAGUACUCCGUAUCACCGAACACAGCUGGCUUCACUGGAUGGCCAGCUGUCGUACUCCCAGGGCUCUGAAUCAAGUAGAGAGUCCUUGACCUGAACUUCACAGAUAGAGAGAUCCAAUGCCUGGAGAUACUAGUUUAUCUGGAAUAGAUAUUAUCUCAUUUUAUCCAUUAAAGUUGGGUUUGACUGGGACAGGCAGAAAACCCUAAAUGUGACUUAAAUAAGAUGAAUUUUAUUUUGAACUCACAUAAAAGAGGCCUGAACACGAGCAGUGGGCAGGAGAUCAUCAGGGACCCAGGGUCCUUCUGGCCUUUGACUCCAACAUCCUCUGUCCUUGGGUUCUCAACUCCCACCAUGGCUGUACCAGCUUUACCCGUCAUAUCCACAGCUGAGCCAGGAGAGAGGCAGGAUGAGGAGAAGGACCUCUGCCCUCCCUUUAAACACAACACAAGGCCUGUGAGGACAGGGUAUUUAUUGACUUUGCAGAAUGUUGUGUCCCCAGCAUAAGGACCGUCUCGGACACAUAGAAGGUGCUCGGUAAAUAUCUGAGCAGUGAAUACCUUCCCCAACCAGAGUGUGGCAGGUGCAGAUAGGUCAUCAGACUGGAAAAACAGAACCCUAAAACACUCCAGAAUAGGAUUUAGCCACUUUAUAAUUCACACAGGAAGCAGAAAAUGUUGAGCGGUAACACUGAAGCCUGUGGAGUUUCUCAGAUACUAUAAGUCACCCAGCAACCUUCGCUGGUUCUCAUUAUCUCUGACAAAGAGGGGUAAGAAAGGGACAGAUGAGUGAAACAAUCCAAAAGCACCAUAGACGUUGCUAGUUCUCACCACAUUCAUGAACACACGUUUACCACAACAGCGAGCAGUUAGCACAC